rnacentral:rRNA from 1 species
GAUGAACGCUGGCGGCGUGCCUAAUACAUGCAAGUCGAGCGAACGGACGAGAAGCUUGCUUCUCUGAUGUUAGCGGCGGACGGGUGAGUAACACGUGGAUAACCUACCUAUAAGACUGGGAUAACUUCGGGAAACCGUAGCUAAUACCGGAUAAUAUUUUGAACCGCAUGGUUCAAAAGUGAAAGACGGUCUUGCUGUCACUUAUAGAUGGAUCCGCGCUGCAUUAGCUAGUUGGUAAGGUAACGGCUUACCAAGGCAACGAUGCAUAGCCGACCUGAGAGGGUGAUCGGCCACACUGGAACUGAGACACGGUCCAGACUCCUACGGGAGGCAGCAGUAGGGAAUCUGCCGCAAUGGGCGAAAGCCUGACGGAGCAACGCCGCGUGAGUGAUGGAGGUCUUCGGAUCGUAAAACUCUGUUAUUAGGGAAGAACAUAUGUGUAAGUAACUGUGCACAUCUUGACGGUACCUAAUCAGAAAGCCACGGCUAACUACGU